rnacentral:rRNA from 1 species
CCUACGGGUGGCAGCAGUGAGGAAUAUUGGUCAAUGGGCGCGAGCCUGAACCAGCCAAGUCGCGUGAGGGAAGACGGUCCUAUGGAUUGUAAACCUCUUUUGUCGGGGAGCAAAAGACGCCACGCGUGGCGUUCCGAGAGUACCCGUAGAAAAAGCAUCGGCUAACUCCGUGCCAGCAGCCGCGGUAAUACGGAGGAUGCGAGCGUUAUCCGGAUUUAUUGGGUUUAAAGGGUGCGCAGGCGGAAGAUCAAGUCAGCGGUAAAAUUGGGAGGCUCAACCUCUUCGAGCCGUUGAAACUGGUUUGCUUGAGUGAACGAGAAGUAAGCGGAAUGCGUGGUGUAGCGGUGAAAUGCAUAGAUAUCACGCAGAACUCCGAUUGCGAAGGCAGCAUACCGGCGCUCAACUGACGCUCAUGCACGAAAGUGUGGGUAUCGAACAGGAUUAGAUACCCCUGUAGUC